rnacentral:rRNA from 1 species
GAUCCUGGCUCAGGACGAACGCUGGCGGCGUGCCUAACACAUGCAAGUCGAACGGGGCUAGGAAAGCUUGCUUUCCGAAGCCUAGUGGCGGACGGGUGAGUAACGCGUGAGUAACCUGCCUUUCAGAGGGGAAUAACGUUCUGAAAAGAACGCUAAUACCGCAUAACGUACAGUUACCGCAUGGUAGCAGUACCGAAGGAGCAAUCCGCUGAGAGAUGGACUCGCGUCCGAUUAGCUAGUUGGUGGGGUAAA